rnacentral:snoRNA from 1 species
AUUCCAUGAUGAGGGCACCUUUGUAAUAAUUCUUUGUACCUUUCCUAUGCCUCAUAAAGGACCCAUCAUCCGUUUGUUGGAAAGUAGUCAUUUCGUUCCUCAACUU